rnacentral:rRNA from 1 species
CUUCCGUUAGGGUGACCUGCGGAAGGAUCAUUACUGAGUGCGGGCCCUCUGGGUCCAACCUCCCACCCGUGUAUACCGUACCUUGUUGCUUCGGCGGGCCCGCCAGUCCGGCCGCCGGGGGGCACCCGCCCCCGGGCCCGCGCCCGCCGAAGCACCCUGAACGCUGUCUGAAGAUUGCAGUCUGAGCGAUAAGCACAAAUUAGUUAAAACUUUCAACAACGGAUCUCUUGGUUCCGGCAUCGAUGAAGAACGCAGCGAAAUGCGAUAAGUAAUGUGAAUUGCAGAAUUCAGUGAAUCAUCGAGUCUUUGAACGCACAUUGCGCCCCUGGUAUUCCGGGGGGCAUGCCUGUCCGAGCGUCAUUGCUGCCCUCAAGCCCGGCUUGGUCUUGGGUGCCGUCCCCCCCCCGGGGGGACGCGCCCGAAAGGCAGCGGCGGCACCGCGUCCGGUCCUCGAGCGUAUGGGGCUUUGUCACCCGCUCCGCAGGCCCGGCCGGCGCCAGCCGACCCCCCAAUCUUUCUUUAGGUUGACCUCGGAUCA